UACGGAGGGUGCGAGCGUUGUCCGGAAUCAUUGGGCGUAAAGGGCGCGUAGGUGGCCCGGUAAGCGUGCGGUGAAAGCUUGGGGCUCAACCCCGAGUCGGCCGUGCGAACUGCUGGGCUGGAGCACUGUAGAGGCAGAUGGAAUUCCGGGUGUAGCGGUGGAAUGCGUAGAGAUCCGGAAGAACACCGGUGGCGAAGGCGGUCUGCUGGGCAGUUGCUGACACUGAGGCGCGACAGCGUGGGGAGCAAACAGG
rnacentral:rRNA from 1 species